UGUAUAGUUUUUGACCACCUCACUCUCUCUAUCACAAUUUUUCUCUCUCUGUAAAACUCUCUCCUUUUUUCUUUUCACACACACCAAAACUGUCAAAACACACGCGCACGCCCCCUCCGAAUCCCCAUAGUGGCUUCUUCCCUCUCUGUCUGUCUCUCUCCCUCUCUCUAGACGUGUGUGCAUGUUCCUCAUGACCAUCGAUUGAAACCCUAGUUCGCCGUCUAGUCCUCCGCAGCUUCACUCUUCUUGGGUAAGGAAUCAACCCAAAAGCCUUGGCGUGGGAUCUUCCAGUGUGGGAUUCAUGUCCUUCAAUCGACCCAGGUAUCAAAAGAGCGAGGCGGCACAAGAUUGUAGAAUCGGGAGAUCCACCAACAGCGGACCUCCUUGAGCGGUUACAGUAAGGGCGGCGGUGCCCCCUUCCCUUCCCCUUCUCUCUCCUCCAUGGACUAGCAAAAUGACCAGUUCCAUGGACCCACUCGAAAACUGGACUAGACCGGUGGUCUAGUUCCCAAGUGGAUUUAUGAAACACCAUUGGGCAAUUCCCGGUUCCCAUUUUUUGGAACCGGUCUUUAACGGGCGAUUCUAGAUUUCAAGUUUCAGAGUGGGAACUGUCCACCCAUGAACCGAUCACUCUUACUAAUGACUCUAAUUUAUUAUGUCUUAUGUAAAGUUACUAACCCAAAUUGGAGUGACUUACCAACUUUUGUC